GAUGAACGCUGGCGGCGUGCCUAAUACAUGCAAGUCGAGCGAACAGACGAGGAGCUUGCUCCUCUGACGUUAGCGGCGGACGGGUGAGUAACACGUGGAUAACCUACCUAUAAGACUGGGAUAACUUCGGGAAACCGGAGCUAAUACCGGAUAACAUGUUGAACCGCAUGGUUCAACAGUGAAAGACGGUCUUGCUUUCACUUAUAGAUGGAUCCGCGCCGCAUUAGCUUGUUGGUAAGGUAACGGCUUACCAAGGCAACGAUGCGUAGCCGACCUGAGAGGGGGAUAGGCAACAGUGGAACUGAGACACGGUCCAGAAAACUACGGGAGGCAGCAGUAGGGAAUCGUACGCAAUGGGCGAAAACAUGACGGAGCAACGCCGCGUGAGUGAAGAAGGUCUUCGGAUCGUAAAACUCUGUUAUUAGGGAAGAAAAAAUGUGUAAGUAACUAUGCACGUCUUGACGGUAACUAAUCAGAAAGCCACGGCUAACUACGUG
rnacentral:rRNA from 1 species